GAGUUUGAUCAUGGCUCAGGACGAACGCUGGCGGCGUGCCUAAUACAUGCAAGUCGAGCGGGGAGUCUUGAGACGGAGGCUUCGGCCGAAGUCUUAAGGGCCCUAGCGGCGGACGGGUGAGUAACGCGUGGGUAACCUGCCCUAUCGCCCGGGAUAACCCUCGGAAACGAGGGCUAAUACCGGAUGCGGUCACCGGCUCGCAUGAGCGGGUGACGAAAGGGCCAUGGGUCCGCGAUAGGAUGGGCCCGCGUCCCAUUAGCUAGUUGGUGGGGUAACGGCCCACCAAGGCGACGAUGGGUAGCCGGCCUGAGAGGGUGGACGGCCACACUGGCACUGAGACACGGGCCAGACUCCUACGGGAGGCAGCAGUAGGGAAUCUUGCGCAAUGGGCGAAAGCCUGACGCAGCGACGCCGCGUGGGGGAUGAAGGUCUUCGGAUCGUAAACCCCUGUCUUUGGGGACGAAGGAUGACGGUACCCAAAGAGGAAGCCCCGGCUAACUACGUGCCAGCAGCCGCGGUAA
rnacentral:rRNA from 1 species